UAAGGAAUAUUGGUCAAUGGACGCAAGUCUGAACCAGCCAUGCCGCGUGGAGGAUGAAGGUCCUCUGGAUUGUAAACUUCUUUUAUUUGGGAAGAAACCCCCGAUUUCUAUUGGGGUUGACGGUACCAGAUGAAUAAGCACCGGCUAACUCCGUGCCAGCAGCCGCGGUAAUACGGAGGGUGCAAGCGUUAUCCGGAUUCACUGGGUUUAAAGGGUGCGUAGGCGGGUUGGUAAGUCCGUGGUGAAAUCUCCAAGCUUAACUUGGAAACUGCCGUGGAUACUAUCAAUCUUGAAUAUCGUGGAGGUGAGCGGAAUAUGUCAUGUAGCGGUGAAAUGCUUAGAUAUGACAUAGAACACCCAUUGCGAAGGCAGCUCGCUACACGGUUAUUGACGCUGAGGCACGAAAGCGUGGGGAUCAAACAGGAUUAGAUACCCUGGUAGUCCACGCCCUAAACGAUGAUUACUCGACAUCAGCGAUACACUGUUGGUGUCUGAGCGAAAGCAUUAAGUAAUCCACCUGGGAAGUACGACCGCAAGGUUG
rnacentral:rRNA from 1 species